rnacentral:rRNA from 1 species
AAAAAAGGUAAGCUACUAAGAGCGAAUGGUGGAUGCCUUGACUGGUAGAGGCGAUGAAGGACGUACUAGACUGCGAUAAGCUACGGGGAGCUGUCAAGAAGCUUUGAUCCGUAGAUUUCCGAAUGGGGCAACCCAAUGUAUAGAGAUAUACAUUACCUAUAUAGGAGCGAACGAGGGGAAUUGAAACAUCUUAGUACCCUCAGGAAAAGAAAUCAAUAGAGAUUGCGUCAGUAGCGGCGAGCGAAAGCGCAAGAGGGCAAACCCAGUGCUUGCACUGGGGGUUGUAGGACUGCAAUGUGCAAGAGGUAAGUUUAGCAGAACAUUCUGGAAAGUAUAACCAUAGAGGGUGAUAGUCCCGUAUGCGAAAAACAAACCUUAGCUAGCAGUAUCCUGAGUAGGGCGGGACACGAGGAAUCCUGUCUGAAUCCGGGUCGACCACGAUCCAACCCUAAAUACUAAUACCAGAUCGAUAGUGCACAAGUACCGUGAGGGAAAGGUGAAAAGAACUGAGGUGAUCAGAGUGAAAUAGAACCUGAAACCAUUUGCUUACAAUCAUUCAGAGCACUAUGUAGCAAUACAGUGUGAUGGACUGCCUUUUGCAUAAUGAGCCUGCGAGUUGUGGUGUCUGGCAAGGUUAAGCAAACGCGAAGCCGUAGCGAAAGCGAGUCUGAAUAGGGCGCUUAGUCAGAUGCUGCAGACCCGAAACGAAGUGAUCUAUCCAUGAGCAAGUUGAAGCUAGUGUAAGAACUAGUGGAGGACUGAACCCAUAGGCGUUGAAAAGCCCCGGGAUGACUUGUGGAUAGGGGUGAAAGGCCAAUCAAACUUCGUGAUAGCUGGUUCUCUCCGAAAUAUAUUUAGGUAUAGCGUUGUGUCGUAAUAUAAGGGGGUAGAGCACUGAAUGGGCUAGGGCAUACACCAAUGUACCAAACCCUAUCAAACUCCGAAUACCUUAUAUGUAAUCACAGCAGUCAGGCGGCGAGUGAUAAAAUCCGUCGUCAAGAGGGAAACAACCCAGACUACCAGCUAAGGUCCCUAAAUCUUACUUAAGUGGAAAACGAUGUGAAGUUACUUAAACAACCAGGAGGUUGGCUUAGAAGCAGCCAUCCUUUAAAGAAAGCGUAAUAGCUCACUGGUCUAGUGAUUUUGCGCGGAAAAUAUAACGGGGCUAAAGUAAGUACCGAAGCUGUAGACUUGCACACAACUUAGAUUAUUUAAGUUUAGAAUAUGAGAAACUAAGUUAUAUGUUUAGUUAUAUUUUUACUGAUUUUUAUAGAGUAAAGAUAGAAAUAAAACUUAGUAAAAUCAGUAAAAAUAUUCUUAGACUAAAGUUAAGUAGUUUAAGUUGUGUGCAAGUGGUAGGAGAGCGUUCUAUUUGCGUCGAAGGUAUACCGGUAAGGAGUGCUGGAGCGAAUAGAAGUGAGCAUGCAGGCAUGAGUAGCGAUAAUUAAUGUGAGAAUCAUUAACGCCGUAAACCCAAGGUUUCCUACGCGAUGCUCGUCAUCGUAGGGUUAGUCGGGUCCUAAGUCGAGUCCGAAAGGGGUAGACGAUGGCAAAUUGGUUAAUAUUCCAAUACCAACAUUAGUGUGCGAUGGAAGGACGCUUAGGGCUAAGGGGGCUAGCGGAUGGAAGUGCUAGUCUAAGGUCGUAGGAGGUUGUACAGGCAAAUCCGUAUAACAAUACUCCGAGAACUGAAAGGCUUUUUGAAGUCUUCGGAUGGAUAGAAGAACCCCUGAUGCCGUCGAGCCAAGAAAAGUUUCUAAGUUUAGCUAAUGUUGCCCGUACCGUAAACCGACACAGGUGGGUGGGAUGAGUAUUCUAAGGCGCGUGGAAGAACUCUCUUUAAGGAACUCUGCAAAAUAGCACCGUAUCUUCGGUAUAAGGUGUGGUUAGCUUUGUAUUAGGAUUUACUCCGAAAGCAAGGAAACUUACAACAAAGAGUCCCUCCCGACUGUUUACCAAAAACACAGCACUCUGCUAACUCGUAAGAGGAUGUAUAGGGUGUGACGCCUGCCCGGUGCUCGAAGGUUAAUUGAUGGGGUUAGCAUUAGCGAAGCUCUUGAUCGAAGCCCGAGUAAACGGCGGCCGUAACUAUAACGGUCCUAAGGUAGCGAAAUUCCUUGUCGGUUAAAUACCGACCUGCAUGAAUGGCGUAACGAGAUGGGAGCUGUCUCAAAGAGGGAUCCAGUGAAAUUGUAGUGGAGGUGAAAAUUCCUCCUACCCGCGGCAAGACGGAAAGACCCCGUGGACCUUUACUACAGCUUGACACUGCUACUUGGAUAAGAAUGUGCAGGAUAGGUGGGAGGCUUUGAGUAUAUGACGCCAGUUGUAUAUGAGCCAUUGUUGAGAUACCACUCUUUCUUAUUUGGGUAGCUAACCAGCUUGAGUUAUCCUCAAGUGGGACAAUGUCUGGUGGGUAGUUUGACUGGGGCGGUCGCCUCCCAAAUAAUAACGGAGGCUUACAAAGGUUGGCUCAGAACGGUUGGAAAUCGUUCGUAGAGUAUAAAGGUAUAAGCCAGCUUAACUGCAAGACAUACAAGUCAAGCAGAGACGAAAGUCGGUCUUAGUGAUCCGGUGGUUCUGUGUGGAAGGGCCAUCGCUCAAAGGAUAAAAGGUACCCCGGGGAUAACAGGCUGAUCUCCCCCAAGAGCUCACAUCGACGGGGAGGUUUGGCACCUCGAUGUCGGCUCAUCGCAUCCUGGGGCUGGAGCAGGUCCCAAGGGUAUGGCUGUUCGCCAUUUAAAGCGGUACGCGAGCUGGGUUCAGAACGUCGUGAGACAGUUCGGUCCCUAUCUGCCGUGGGCGUAAGAAGAUUGAAGAGAUUUGACCCUAGUACGAGAGGACCGGGUUGAACAAACCACUGGUGUAGCUGUUGUUCUGCCAAGAGCAUCGCAGCGUAGCUAAGUUUGGAAAGGAUAAACGCUGAAAGCAUCUAAGCGUGAAGCCAACUCUAAGAUGAAUCUUCUCUAAGCUCUCUAGAAGACUACUAGUUUGAUAGGCUGGGUGUGUAAUGGAUGAAAGUCCUUUAGCUGACCAGUACUAAUAGAGCGUUUGGCUUAUCUUAAUAAAGCAU